UAAUACAUAGGGUGCGAGCGUUAAUCGGAAUUACUGGGCGUAAAGCGAGCGCAGACGGUUACUUAAGCAGGAUGUGAAAUCCCCGGGCUUAACCUGGGAACUGCGUUCUGAACUGGGUAGCUAGAGUAUGUCAGAGGGGGGUAGAAUUCCACGUGUAGCAGUGAAAUGCGUAGAGAUGUGGAGGAAUACCGAUGGCGAAGGCAGCCCCCUGGGAUAAUACUGACGUUCAUGCUCGAAAGCGUGGGUAGCAAACGGGAUUAGAUACCCUGGUAGUCCACGCCCUAAACGAUGUCGAUUAGCUGUUGGGCAGCUUGACUGCUUAGUAGCGUAGCUAACGCGUGAAAUCGACCGCCUGGGGAGUACGGUCGCAAGAUUAAAACUCAAAGGAAUUGACGGGGACCCGCACAAGCGGUGGAUGAUGUGGAUUAAUUCGAUGCAACGCGAAGAACCUUACCUGGUCUUGACAUGUACGGAACCUUCCAGAGACGGAAGGGUGCCUUCGGGAACCGUAACACAGGUGCUGCAUGGCUGUCGUCAGCUCGUGUCGUGAGAUGUUGGGUUAAGUCCCGCAACGAGCGCAACCCUUGUCAUUAGUUGCCAUCAUUUAGUUGGGCACUCUAAUGAGACUGCCGGUGACAAACCGGAGGAAGGUGGGGAUGACGUCAAGUCCUCAUGGCCCUUAUGACCAGGGCUUCACACGUCAUACAAUGGUCGGUACAAAGGGUAGCCAAGCCGCGAGGCGGAGCCAAUCUCAUAAAACCGAUCGUAGUCCGGAUUGCACUCUGCAACUCGAGUGCAUGAAGUCGGAAUCGCUAGUAAUCGCAGGUCAGCAUACUGCGGUGAAUACGUUCCCGGGUCUUGUACACACCGCCCGUCACACCAUGGGAGUGGGGGAUACCAGAAGUAGGUAGGGUAACCGCAAGGAGCCCGCUUACCACGGUAUGCUUCAUGACUGGGGUGAAGUCGUAACAAGGUAGCCGUAGGGGAACCUGC
rnacentral:rRNA from 1 species